rnacentral:rRNA from 1 species
UACGGAGGGAGCUAGCGUUGUUCGGAAUUACUGGGCGUAAAGGGCGCGCAGGCGGCCCUCCAAGUCAGGCGUGAAAGCCCCGGGCUCAACCCGGGAAUAGCGCUUGAGACUGGGGGGCUUGAGUUCGGGAGAGGAGAGUGGAAUUCCCAGUGUAGAGGUGAAAUUCGUAGAUAUUCGGAAGAACACCAGUGGCGAAGGCGACUUACUGGACACAUAUUGACGCUGAGGUGCGAAAGCGUGGGGAGCAAACAGG